UGUAAAAACAAUAGUGAUUACAAACAACUUUAAUACAAAUAUCCACUUUCUUAAAACCCGUAUUUUUUCUAAAAGAAUCCUAUAAUAAGGGACGGAGGUAGUAUUUUAUUUUCACAGUAUUAUCUAAUGGACCCUAGCAUCACACAGGUGGAGAUCUAGUUAUUUGUUUAAUUGUUUGAUGUAUUUGAAUUGUUGGGUUAAUGGAUUUUAAUAGAUAUAGAGGAAUUAAAGGUAUUUUGGUAAUUUUGGAGUGAAGGGUAUAUUAGUAAUUGGAGGUGGAGUAAUAUUAUUAAGAGUUGCAGUAACUUUGUAGAAUUACUAGAAUAGAGUUAAAUGGUAAAAACGGAGAAUUAAUUGAAUUAGAAAGAGGUGAAUUGUUAUUAAAAAUAAGACCAAGCCCACACUAGGAGAAAGUGAGCUAGGCCUAAUUAGUAAGAGUAUAUAAGAUUAGUGGUAGCAUAAUCUUAGUUUGAAGAUUCAUUUGAUAAGUUUCACCUAGAAAGAGGUUAAAUGAGAGAAGAGAGAAAAAUAUAGAGAAAGAAGAAUUUCAAGGGAGAAGAGGAUCUAACUUGAAGAAACUCAAGAGGGAGAGUAGAUUGGAGCUUAGAACUUAGCUUUUGAGAGUUAGAGACGUGCAAGAUUGAUGACGCUUGAGACGGCAUGAGUACUGAGGAUUAACUUGACGCUUCCUCAUUUUCUUGUUGCUUUUGGAGUCUAAUUGUAGGCUCUGAUUAGGACUUUGGUCAUGAGUUUAUUUUCUUUUGGUAUCUGUUGAGGACCUGGAGUUUAUUUGAUGUAUUUUGAGAUUGAGAUAUGUUGUUGAAAUUUUUUAUGAAAAUUGAAUUAUGUAUGAUUUUGUGUU